rnacentral:tRNA from 1 species
GCCUGGCUGGCUCAAUCGUUAGAGCAUGUGACUCUUGAUCUCGGAGUCCUGAGUUCGAGCCCCACGUUGGGUA